rnacentral:sRNA from 1 species
AAGGAGCCCCCAAUGAGCCACCUCUCCUCACCCCCCAAAAAACAUAAGGGGGAGCACAAAGGCCACAGUCUCCCCCAUGGUUCAGAAAGGGGUAGCUCCUCCCGGGACAAGGACCGAAGUGCGACGGUCAGUAGUUCAGUGCCCAUGCCUGCUGGAGGGAAGGGAAGCCAUCCUUCAUCUGCACCCCAGAGGGUCCCCAACCGCCUGAUCCACGAGAAGUCACCAUACCUCCUACAACAUGCCUACAAUCCUGUGGACUGGUACCCCUGGGGACAGGAAGCCUUCGACAAGGCCAGGAAAGAAAACAAGCCGAUUUUCCUCUCAGUCGGGUACUCCACCUGCCACUGGUGCCACAUGAUGGAAGAGGAGUCCUUCCAGAAUGAGGAGAUCGGCCGCUUGCUCAGUGAGGACUUCGUGAGCGUGAAGGUAGACCGUGAGGAGCGGCCUGACGUCGACAAGGUGUACAUGACGUUCGUGCAGGUGAGCAGCCCUCCUCGGGAGUGUAUGCGCCACAUGGGGUCAGGGCAGCUCCCCUCACCCUCGCUCUCUCUCUGCCAGGCCACCAGCAGUGGCGGGGGCUGGCCCAUGAAUGUGUGGCUGACUCCCAACCUCCAGCCCUUUGUCGGGGGCACCUAUUUCCCUCCUGAGGAUGGCUUGACCCGAGUCGGCUUCCGCACAGUGUUGCUGAGAAUACGAGAACAGUGGAAACAGAACAAGAACACCCUGCUAGAAAAUAGCCAGCGUGUCACCACCGCCCUGCUGGCCCGAUCAGAGAUCAGCGUGGGUGACCGCCAGCUGCCGCCCUCUGCCGCCACCAUGAACAAUCGCUGCUUCCAGCAGCUGGACGAGGGCUAUGAUGAGGAAUAUGGUGGCUUCGCUGAGGCCCCCAAGUUUCCCACGCCGGUGAUCUUGAGCUUCCUGUUCUCCUACUGGCUCAGCCAUCGACUGACUCAGGAUGGCUCUCGGGCCCAGCAGAUGGCCUUGCAUACCCUGAAAAUGAUGGCUAACGGGGGCAUCCGGGACCACGUGGGGCAGGGCUUUCACCGAUACUCCACAGACCGCCAGUGGCACGUCCCUCACUUUGAGAAGAUGCUCUAUGACCAGGCACAGCUCGCUGUGGCCUAUUCGCAGGCCUUCCAGAUCUCUGGCGAUGAAUUCUACUCUGAUAUGGCCAAAGGCAUCCUGCAGUACGUGGCUCGGAGCCUGAGCCACCGGUCUGGAGGCUUCUAUAGCGCUGAGGAUGCAGACUCGCCCCCAGAGCGGGGCAUGCGGCCCAAAGAGGGCGCCUACUAUGUGUGGACGGUCAAAGAGGUUCAGCAGCUCCUCCCGGAGCCUGUGCUGGGUGCCACCGAGCCGCUGACCUCAGGCCAGCUCCUGAUGAAGCACUACGGCCUCACGGAGGCUGGUAACAUCAGCCCCAGUCAGGACCCCAAGGGGGAGCUGCAGGGCCAGAAUGUGCUGACCGUCCGGUACUCGCUGGAGCUGACUGCUGCCCGCUUUGGCUUGGAUGUGGAGGCCGUGCGGACCUUGCUUAAUACAGGGCUGGAGAAGCUCUUCCAGGCCCGGAAGCAUCGGCCCAAGCCACACCUGGACAGCAAGAUGCUGGCUGCCUGGAAUGGUGGGGCAGCAUCUCUGAGACCGAGCCUGUCUGUAGGAUCCCCCUUCACAAAGCCUCUGUCUGUCCGGCACCUGCUAAAUGCUCACUCUCCCUUUAUUAGCGUUAUUAUUCUCAGUUGACAAAAGAGGCUUAAGGAGCUUGAGUAACCUGCCCAAGGUCACACACA